UUUCAACUCUCUAUUUUUUGGUCUCCAAUUUCACGCACACGAACUUACUAUCCUCUCUCUGUAUUCGCUGUUAGGCAUCGAUUUUCCCUUUAAACCCAAAUCGUUGCAAACUCAUAGAACCAUCCUCUCUAUUAACCCAUCUAUUUUCCCUUUGCAUCCAUGGCCUGAACGAUCCUCUAUCAUCUCUCUGUUAACCCUUUGGAAUGAUAUUCGACGGUCACUGGAGUUGCAGUGAAAUGGAAUCAGCAAAUUGAACCUCAAAUAAGAUCCAGAUCAUUUGGGCUGUAAAGUUAUUCUGGUAUACUAGGUAUCUCGGUUAUUUGCUGGAGUCGAUACUGCAUCUGGAGUUUGGUUUGACUAUCUGAAGGUCGCAAAUUAUUGUUUAUGUUUUUGCUUCUUAUUUACUUCAUUAUUAUUAAUUUAGUUAUUGAACAUAGUAAACCAGUAAAGUGCAUCAGUAGACAUCAAAGUAGACAUCAGUAGACAUUAGUAGACAUCAAAGUGGAUUAGCAUAGUAAACCAGCAAAGUGCAUCAGUAGAUACUUAUAAAGUGAACCCUGUUGCAUUGGCUUGAUAUCUUAUAAAAUAUUGAUACCUUGUUCAUGCUUUGUAUUGCAGUUUAUCUUUCCUUAUGGUAUUGAAAUCAUAACUGAAGUUAUUAGUCAUUCUUUCUCUAUUAUUUACUCUAUAGUUACAACUGAAGUUAUUACUCAUUGUUUCUCUAUUACUUGUUUUAUACUUACUGAUGGUCUGGUUUCUACUAUUAUUUGUUUAUACUUUCUGAGGGUUUAGUUUCUACAACUUGUUUCUUUCUUUGGUAUUUUUCUAGGUACCAUCUAAUCAUAUAAGACUAAAUAUGAGACUGGAUGGUUGGAGUUGGUAUGAGAUCAAAUGUUGAUAUUUUUUUUUAUAGAUUUCUGGAUUUAGAGAAAUAAUGGUUCUAGAUUAUUGAGUGGAAGAGUGUCUAAUUUUUAUAUUACAGUGAGUGUUAUAAAAAGAGAUUGACAAUUGCACAUAUAUCAACUCACCUUACAAGUAAGUUCUCGAAAGCUUAAGCCUCCAGCAACAAAAAAGUUUCCACUCACUUCUAGUGUGCUGAUCUGCCUUUGUGUAAAGUCUUCUAACAAGCUUCCUACAUGUCUCUAGAUGACAAAUUAUUAGAAUUAAUUAUCCAAACAGAACAUUAACACAAAAAUAAAAUAAAAAAUAAAAAAUGAAGGAAGUAGAAGAAAAUUGGGGGAACAUAAAUAAGACUUUUUUUCAUGACAAACAAACAUAAAGAUGGGGUAGAGUCAUUCUCAAAGCCUCAAACUGAACAAGAAAUAUGACCCUUUUUUUGACAACCGUAAAUAAUCUACACUUCAUAUAGGAGUUGAAAUUAAGGGGAGUUGAAAUUAAGGCAAAAAAAGGGGUAUUAAACACAUGAAAAAGGACACACUUCUAAGAAAGAAGUGUCUAUAUCAAACACAUGAAAAGAAAAAGAAAAAGUAUUUAGUUUUUGAAACUUCAAGAGGACAAUGGAGAAAUUAAGACAAAAUCAUUAACAAAGAAGAAAUGCACGCGCUUGAAACCCCUCCUCCAAAGUUCUUCACCUAACCACCCACUAGUCUAUAAUUCCCCUUAUAAAAAAUCACAAC